rnacentral:rRNA from 1 species
GUGGGGAAUAUUGCACAAUGGGCGAAAGCCUGAUGCAGCGACGCCGCGUGGGGGAUGACGGCCUUCGGGUUGUAAACCUCUUUCAGCAGGGAAGAAGCGAGAGUGACGGUACCUGCAGAAGAAGCGCCGGCUAACUACGUGCCAGCAGCCGCGGUAAUACGUAGGGCGCAAGCGUUGUCCGGAAUUAUUGGGCGUAAAGAGCUUGUAGGUGGCUUGUCGCGUCUGCCGUGAAAACCCGAGGCUCAACCUCGGGCGUGCGGUGGGUACGGGCAGGCUAGAGUGUGGUAGGGGAGACUGGAACUCCUGGUGUAGCGGUGAUAUGCGCAGAUAUCAGGAAGAACACCGAUGGCGAAGGCAGGUCUCUGGGCCAUUACUGACACUGAGAAGCGAAAGCAUGGGGAGCGAACAGGAUUAGAAACCCUGGUAGUCC